rnacentral:rRNA from 1 species
UGCCUCAGUAACGGCGAGUGAAGCGGCAACAGCUCAAAUUUGAAAUCUGGCCCUAGGCCCGAGUUGUAAUUUGCAGAGGAUGCUUUUGGUGCGGUGCCUUCCAAGUUCCCUAGAACGGGACGCCAGAGAGGGUGAGAGCCCCGUACAGUUGGACACCAAGCCUUUGUAAAGCUCCUUCGACGAGUCGAGUAGUUUGGGAAUGCUGCUCAAAAUGGGAGGUAUAUUUCUUCUAAAGCUAAAUACCGGCCAGAGACCGAUAGCGCACAAGUAGAGUGAUCGAAAGAUGAAAAGCACUUUGAAAAGAGGGUUAAACAGCACGUGAAAUUGUUAAAAGGGAAGCGCUUGUGACCAGACUUGCGUCCGGUGAAUCACCCAGCUCUCGCGGCUGGGGCACUUCGCCGGCUCAGGCCAGCAUCAGCUCGCUGUCGGGGACAAAAGCUUCAGGAACGUAGCUCUCUUCGGGGAGUGUUAUAGCCUGUUGCAUAAUACCCUUCGGCGGGCUGAGGUACGCGCUCCGCAAGGAUGCUGGCAUAAUGGUCAUCAGCGACCCGUCUUGAAACACGGACCAAGGAGUCAACCUUAUGUGCGAGUGUUCGGGUGUCAAACCCCUACGCGUAAUGAAAGUGAACGCAGGUGAGAGCUUCGGCGCAUCAUCGACCGAUCCUGAUGUUCUCGGAUGGAUUUGAGUAAGAGCAUAUAGGGUUGGACCCGAAAGAAGGUGAACUAUGCGUGUAUAGGGUGAAGCCAGAGGAAACUCUGGUGGAGGCUCGCAGCGGUUCUGACGUGCAAAUCGAUCGUCAAAUAUGCGCAUGGGGGCGAAA